UCUUGCGCAUGGGCGAAAGCCUGNCGCAGCCAUGCCGCGUGAAUGAUGAAGGUCUUAGGAUUGUAAAAUUCUUUCAGCGGGGACGAUAAUGACGGUACCCGCAGAAGAAGCUCCGGCUAACUUCGUGCCAGCAGCCGCGGUAAUACGAAGGGGGCUAGCGUUGCUCGGAAUUACUNGGGCGUAAAGGGCGCNGUAGGCGGAUGUUUAAGUCAGAGGUGAAAGCCCAGGGCUCAACCUUGGAAUUGCCUUUGAUACUGGACAUCUUGAGUACGGGAGAGGUGAGUGGAACUCCGAGUGUAGAGGUGAAAUUCGUAGAUAUUCGGAAGAACACCAGUGGCGAAGGCGACUCACUGGCCCGUUACUGACGCUGAGGCGCGAAAGCGUGGGGAGCAAACAGGAUUAGAUACCCUGGUAGUCCACGCUGUAAACGAUGAGUGCUAGUUGUCGGCAUGCAUGCAUGUCGGUGACGCAGCUAACGCGUUAAGCACUCCGCCUGGGGAGUACGGUCGCAAGAUUAAAACUCAAAGGAAUUGACGGA
rnacentral:rRNA from 1 species